rnacentral:rRNA from 1 species
GGUAAACGGGGGCAAGGGGGCGGGGUGAUACGUAGGGGGAAAGCGUUAAUCGGAAUUACUUGGCGUAAAGCGUGGGCAGGCGGUUCCAUAAGACAGAGGUGAAAGCCCCGGGCUCAACCGGGGAACGGCAUUUGUGACUGUGGAGCUAGAGUACGGUAGAGGGGGAUGGAAUUCCGCGUGUAGCAGUGAAAUGCGUAGAGAUGCGGAGGAACACCAAUGGCGAAGGCAAUCCCCUGGACCUGUACUGACGCUCAUGCACGAAAGCGUGGGGAGCAAACAGGAUUAGAUACCCGAGUAGUC